UGACUCCAGACAUGAAUUUCAUGGUCAUC
rnacentral:piRNA from 1 species